GUUAUGUUAAAAUGUAUUAAUUGAUCUUUGCAGGUAAUCAUGUUAGUGAAGUCAUUAAGGAUGACGUAACGCACUCAUCAACCGAGGUGAUCAAGCUCGAUGAUUAGUAGAAGACUAAUGCUUGAUUUAAUGUAAUAGUUGAUGUAAUAUUGUAAUGUUAUUGGGCCUAAAUUGUAAGGUCCAUCUGUAAUAUUGUAACAUUGAAAUUAAACUCUAAAAUAUAAAUACUUGGGUUAACUUCUUCUUUCAAACUUAAUUUCUCUCCUUCUCCCUCCAAGGUCGACGGCUACCCCUCCUACUCGUGUUUUCAUGGUAUCAGAGCAAGGUUAGGGGGUAACGUUGACUUUCACAUUCAACUCACAAGGCGAGGCAGUGAGCGUUUUUCCGCGACGCCCACCGCUCACCUGCAGUUUGUUCCAGCGCACGGUUCCGAGAACACACACGUUCGCGACGCGCUUCCGGUGACGCCUCCGUCGUCGUCAUCGUCUUCCGACAACGUGUGCGUCGUCGUCCUCAAAGUUCUCCAGUAGCGUCCUCCGUUUCACGCUGGUAGCGACCUGCUCUGGACUUCCCGAAAUCGCGAUUUAACACUUCCAGAGUUUGCAAUUUUACUUAAAACAAUUAUUUUAAUAUUAUCUACUUGAUUUCAACUGUGUGUGAGACUGUGAUUUGUACUUGGAUUAUGUGAAUCCACACUACAAAAAAAAGGACCUUGUAUGGCGGACUUUAGAUGGCGGAAAUCCGCCAUCAAUACUUCAAUUGUUUAGAUGGCGGAUGUCCGCCAUCUAUUCUUUCAGUCCGCUGAGGUAAGGUUUGGGCUCGACGGCGGUUCCAUUUUAUUUUCGAUGGCGGUGUUUAGAUGGCGGAAAUCCGCCAUCUAAACUAUCCCGCCCAAAAUUUCGAAUGUCCCCCAAUAUUGAACCCGAUUACCCGAUUAAAUUGACUUAAGAUGGCGGAAAUCCGCCAUCUUAAGUAUUCGGGGGACUCGGGCGGAAAAAGCCCGCCCAAAUUUCGAUUGGGCGGAUUUUUCCACCUUACAUGGCGGCACUUAAGUGUACUUACAUGGCGGAAAUCCGCCAUGUAAGUUUUGGGGUUUAUUAAAAACCCCAAAUCAGAACAGAGAACGCACAUUCGCGCCGAGUCCCGAUUGACGAACGCCCACUGACGACCGCCGACUCCCGAUUUCUCGCCGCCGCUCACUCCCGCCGCUCGCUCCUGCCGGUCGGUCUCGCCUAGCCUCGCCGUGCGCUGCCCCUCACCUCGCCGGUCAUCUGUGAAGGUAUGUGAUGGGUUAUUUUUUAUUAUGGUUUUAUGGUUUUUGAUUUUGAUUUAUGUUUUUAUGGUAUGACGCACAUUAUGGAUUUUGAUUUAUGGUUUUAUUAUGUGGGUAUGUGGGUAUGUUGAUUUAUGAUUUUGAUUUAUGGUUUUAUGGUUUGAAUGUUAGGAACCGAUGUAUGAAAUUUUUUUAUUAUGAUUUUGUUAUUUUGUGGGUAUGUUUGUUUGUUAUUUAAGUAUCAACUAUAAUCUAUGUUUGUUUGUUAUUGGAAUCUACUGUUUUGAUGAUUGGGUUUAUCUUUGUUUGUUUGUUAUUGUUAAUUAUCAACUAAUCUACUGUUUAUUUGUUAAUAAAUUAAGUGAUUGCUUUUAAUCAAACUCAAAUAAGUGAUGAAUGAGUUUUAUUUUAGUGUUAUAUGAAUAUUUUAUAAAUGAAUUAUACAUUUUCAUGUACUAUUGUCAAGUAAUUGGAAUUAUAUUGCAUCAUUUAGUUAUUGUAUUUUUUAGUUAGUUUAUGUACUGCUUUAGUUUGUUUAAUUAGUGUACUAAUCCUUUCUAUUGAUUUAUUAAUAUAUACUAAUCUUCAUCAAUAUAUUAAUUUGUGAAGGUAUCGAUUUGUGAAGGUA
rnacentral:lncRNA from 1 species